rnacentral:rRNA from 1 species
CGCCGUAAACGAUGAAUACUAGGUGUCGGGGUCCACAGGAUCCCGGUGCCGCAGCAAACGCAUUAAGUAUUCCACCUGGGGAGUACGUUCGCAAGAAUGAAACUCAAAGGAAUUGACGGGGACCCGCACAAGCGGUGGAGCAUGUGGUUUAAUUUGAAGCAACGCGGAGAACCUUACCAAGCCUUGACAUCCUCCUGACGGCCCCUUAGCCGGGGAGUCCCUUCGGGGCAGGAGAGACAGGUGGUGCAUGGUUGUCGUCAGCUCGUGUCGUGAGAUGUUGGGUUAAGUCCCGCAACGAGCGCAACCCUUAUCCUCAGUAGCCAGCGGUCCGGCCGGGCACUCUGUGGAGACUGCCGGAGAUAAUCCGGAGGAAGGUGGGGAUGACGUCAAAUCAUCAUGCCCUUUAUGGCUUGGGCUACACACGUGCUACAAUGGCGGUAACAAAGUGAAGCAGCCUCGCGAGAGUGAGCCAACCACAAAAAAACCGUCCCAGUUCGGAUUGUAGUCUGCAACCCGACUACAUGAAGCUGGAAUCGCUAGUAAUCGCAGAUCAGAAUGCUGCGGUGAAUACGUUCCCGGGUCUUGUACACACCGCCCGUCACACCAUGGGAGUCGGAAAUGCCCGAAGCCAGUGACCCAACCUUAGGGAGGGAACUGUCGAAGGUGGAGCCGAUAACUGGGGUGAAGUCGUAACAAGGUAGCCGUAUCGGAAGGUGCGGCUGGAUCACCUC